GCACUCAAUGGAAAGAGGAGUGGCGGACGGGUGAGUAACACGUGGGUAACCUACCCAUCAGAGGGGGAUAACACUUGGAAACAGGUGCUAAUACCGCAUAACAGUUUAUGCCGCAUGGCAUAAGAGUGAAAGGCGCUUUCGGGUGUCGCUGAUGGAUGGACCCGCGGUGCAUUAGCUAGUUGGUGAGGUAACGGCUCACCAAGGCCACGAUGCAUAGCCGACCUGAGAGGGUGAUCGGCCACACUGGGACUGAGACACGGCCCAGACUCCUACGGGAGGCAGCAGUAGGGAAUCUUCGGCAAUGGACGAAAGUCUGACCGAGCAACGCCGCGUGAGUGAAGAAGGUUUUCGGAUCGUAAAACUCUGUUGUUAGAGAAGAACAAGGACGUUAGUAACUGAACGUCCCCUGACGGUAUCUAACCAGAAAGCCACGGCUAACUACGUGCCAGCAGCCGCGGUAAUACGUAGGUGGCAAGCGUUGUCCGGAUUUAUUGGGCGUAAAGCGAGCGCAGGCGGUUUCUUAAGUCUGAUGUGAAAGCCCCCGGCUCAACCGGGGAGGGUCAUUGGAAACUGGGAGAC
rnacentral:rRNA from 1 species